rnacentral:rRNA from 1 species
GGUUAAGCGACUAAGCGUACACGGUGGAUGCCCUGGCAGUCAGAGGCGAUGAAGGACGUGCUAAUCUGCGAAAAGCGUCGGUAAGGUGAUAUGAACCGUUACAGCCGGCGAUGUCCGAAUGGGGAAACCCAGUGCAAUUCGUUGCACUAUCGUUUGAUGAAUACAUAGUCAAACGAGGCGAACCGGGGGAACUGAAACAUCUAAGUACCCCGAGGAAAAGAAAUCAACCGAGAUUCCCCCAGUAGCGGCGAGCGAACGGGGAGCAGCCCGGAGUCUGAAUCAGCUUGUGUGUUAGUGGAAGCGUCUGGAAAGUCGCAGGGUACAGGGUGAUACUCCCGUACACUAAAACGCACAGGCUGUGAACUCGAAGAGUAGGGCGGGACACGUGGUAUCCUGUCUGAAUAUGGGGGGACCAUCCUCCAAGGCUAAAUACUCCUGACUGACCGAUAGUGAACCAGUACCGUGAGGGAAAGGCGAAAAGAACCCCGGCGAGGGGAGUGAAAAAGAACCUGAAACCGUGUACGUACAAGCAGUAGGAGCCCACUAGUUGGGUGACUGCGUACCUUUUGUAUAAUGGGUCAGCGACUUAUAUUCUGUAGCAAGGUUAACCGUAUAGGGGAGCCGCAGGGAAACCGAGUCUUAACUGGGCGUUAAGUUGCAGGGUAUAGACCCGAAACCCGGUGAUCUAGCCAUGGGCAGGUUGAAGGUUGGGUAACACUAACUGGAGGACCGAACCGACUAAUGUUGAAAAAUUAGCGGAUGACUUGUGGCUGGGGGUGAAAGGCCAAUCAAACCGGGAGAUAGCUGGUUCUCCCCGAAAGCUAUUUAGGUAGCGCCUCGUGAACUCAUCUUCGGGGGUAGAGCACUGUUUCGGCUAGGGGGUCAUCCCGACUUACCAACCCGAUGCAAACUACGAAUACCGAAGAAUGUUAUCACGGGAGACACACGGCGGGUGCUAACGUCCGUCGUGAAGAGGGAAACAACCCAGACCGCCAGCUAAGGUCCCAAAGUCAUGGUUAAGUGGGAAACGAUGUGGGAAGGCCCAGACAGCCAGGAUGUUGGCUUAGAAGCAGCCAUCAUUUAAAGAAAGCGUAAUAGCUCACUGGUCGAGUCGGCCUGCGCGGAAGAUGUAACGGGGCUAAACCAUGCACCGAAGCUGCGGCAGCGACACUAUGUGUUGUUGGGUAGGGGAGCGUUCUGUAAGCCGUUGAAGGUGGCCUGUGAGGGUUGCUGGAGGUAUCAGAAGUGCGAAUGCUGACAUAAGUAACGAUAAUGCGGGUGAAAAACCCGCACGCCGGAAGACCAAGGGUUCCUGUCCAACGUUAAUCGGGGCAGGGUGAGUCGACCCCUAAGGCGAGGCCGAAAGGCGUAGUCGAUGGGAAACAGGUUAAUAUUCCUGUACUUGGUGUUACUGCGAAGGGGGGACGGAGAAGGCUAUGUUGGCCGGGCGACGGUUGUCCCGGUUUAAGCAUGUAGGCGGAUGUUCCAGGUAAAUCCGGAACGUCAUUAACGCUGAGGUGUGAUGACGAGGCACUACGGUGCUGAAGUGACAAAUGCCCUGCUUCCAGGAAAAGCCUCUAAGCAUCAGGUAACAUCAAAUCGUACCCCAAACCGACACAGGUGGUCAGGUAGAGAAUACCAAGGCGCUUGAGAGAACUCGGGUGAAGGAACUAGGCAAAAUGGUGCCGUAACUUCGGGAGAAGGCACGCUGAUGGUAGGUGAAGCGACUUGCUCGUGGAGCUGAAAUCAGUCGAAGAUACCAGCUGGCUGCAACUGUUUAUUAAAAACACAGCACUGUGCAAACACGAAAGUGGACGUAUACGGUGUGACGCCUGCCCGGUGCCGGAAGGUUAAUUGAUGGGGUUAUCCUCGCGGAGAAGCUCUUGAUCGAAGCCCCGGUAAACGGCGGCCGUAACUAUAACGGUCCUAAGGUAGCGAAAUUCCUUGUCGGGUAAGUUCCGACCUGCACGAAUGGCGUAAUGAUGGCCAGGCUGUCUCCACCCGAGACUCAGUGAAAUUGAACUCGCUGUGAAGAUGCAGUGUACCCGCGGCAAGACGGAAAGACCCCGUGAACCUUUACUAUAGCUUGACACUGAACACUGGUCCUUGAUGUGUAGGAUAGGUGGGAGGCUUUGAAGUGUGGACGCCAGUCUGCAUGGAGCCAUCCUUGAAAUACCACCCUUUAAUGGCUGGUGUUCUAACGUGGGCCCCUAAUCGGGGUUGCGGACAGUGUCUGGUGGGUAGUUUGACUGGGGCGGUCUCCUCCUAAAGAGUAACGGAGGAGCACGAAGGUCAGCUAAUCCUGGUCGGACAUCAGGAGGUUAGUGCAAUGGCAUAAGCUGGCUUGACUGCGAGCGUGACGGCGCGAGCAGGUGCGAAAGCAGGUCAUAGUGAUCCGGUGGUUCUGAAUGGAAGGGCCAUCGCUCAACGGAUAAAAGGUACUCCGGGGAUAACAGGCUGAUACCGCCCAAGAGUUCAUAUCGACGGCGGUGUUUGGCACCUCGAUGUCGGCUCAUCACAUCCUGGGGCUGAAGUAGGUCCCAAGGGUAUGGCUGUUCGCCAUUUAAAGUGGUACGCGAGCUGGGUUUAGAACGUCGUGAGACAGUUCGGUCCCUAUCUGCCGUGGGCGCUGGAGAAUUGAGGGGGGCUGCUCCUAGUACGAGAGGACCGGAGUGGACGCAUCACUGGUGUUCGGGUUGUCAUGCCAAUGGCAUUGCCCGGUAGCUAAAUGCGGAAGAGAUAAGUGCUGAAAGCAUCUAAGCACGAAACUUGCCCCGAGAUGAGUUCUCCCUGACUCCUUGAGAGUCCUGAAGGAACGUUGAAGACGACGACGUUGAUAGGCCGGGUGUGUAAGCGCAGCGAUGCGUUGAGCUAACCGGUACUAAUGAACCGUGAGGCUUAACCUU